rnacentral:tRNA from 1 species
CGGGCCGUAGCGCAGCCUGGCUAGCGCGCUUGCUUGGGGUGCAAGAGGUCGCGAGUUCGAAUCUCGCCGGCCCGACCA